rnacentral:rRNA from 1 species
CGUGUCGUGAGAUGUGGUUAAGUCCCGCAACGAGCGCAACCCUCGACCUUAGUUGCCAGCAUUCAGUUGGGCACUCUAAGGUGACUGCCGGCUAAAAGUCGGAGGAAGGUGGGGGAUGACGUCAAAUCAUCAUGCCCCUUAUGACCUGGGCUACACACGUGCUACAAUGGGCGGUACAAAGGGUCGCGAACCCGCGAGGGGGAGCCAAUCCCAAAAAGCCGCUCUCAGUUCGGAUUGCAGGCUGCAACUCGCCUGCAUGAAGCCGGAAUCGCUAGUAAUCGCGGAUCAGCAUGCCGCGGUGAAUACGUUCCCGGGCCUU